CCCGCUAUCUACGUAGAGAAAGAGAAGAGAAGAAAAAAAUAUAGUAAGAGAGGAAGUGGGAGCUAUGGUGAGGCAGUUCAAACAACAGACAGGCAUUUAAGAAGGCAGCGGUUGCCAUGCGACAGCGCCAUACAGAGAGGUGAUGGCUGUGGUAAUGCUACCUGGCAUGCUGUUCAGUGAUUUAAUAAGCUCGCCCAGGCCAGCCAUAAAUCAUCAUCAGGCCAAGUUCUUGAAGCUUAAAGGAGAAACGCGGACAAAUACUAGAACCAGAGGAGAACGCGAGUCAGAUGACAGUGACAUGUCCCCGCCGAGUGGAGGAAGGUGAUCUGCAUAUUGUCGCGUAACAGGAUGUCCCCUAUAGGGCAGGCUAGCAAGAGAGCUGAAAAACAGACACAAUCAAAAGUCUGAAAUAAAGAUUUACUGAUUAUUGCAAAAAAAGGC
ensembl:lncRNA